CAGUCGCCACGGGAAUACGUAGGGUGCAAGCGUUAAUCGGAAUUACUGGGCGUAAAGCGUGCGCAGGCGGUUAUAUAAGACAGAUGUGAAAUCCCCGGGCUCAACCUGGGAACUGCAUUUGUGACUGUAUAGCUAGAGUACGGCAAAGGGGGAUGGAAUUCCGCGUGUAGCAGUGAAAUGCGUAGAUAUGCGGAGGAACACCGAUGGCGAAGGCAAUCCCCUGGGCCUGUACUGACGCUCAUGCACGAAAGCGUGGGGAGCAAACAGGAUUAGAUACCCCCGUAGUCCCUGUCUCUUAUAA
rnacentral:rRNA from 1 species